AGAAUUUCGCUGGAUUUCGAAAGGGACAGAAAUUGUUGAAGAUUUGAGAAAGCUGCUAAUGAUCACAGGAUGGUAGAUCCAUGACAAGAGAAAUCAGCCGGCUCAAUGAUAAGAGCCUGAGAGGAGACAUGUCAUCACAAGGCAACCCGGGAAAGCAACCAGAUGCAAGCCAAUAGUUUAAAGUGACAAGGUCACCAAAAAAGCCUGACCACUGAAUAAUCGCUCCGGUGUGAAAAGGUAGAGAUGACGGCUGCCACAAGUCACCUGAUAUCUGGAAUUGAAAGGAACCAGUAAGGCAUUAUAUGGAUUGCACUGGAGGCAUGGCCUGAAAUGUUGCCCAUGGAAUUUCACACCUGGGACACCUGAGACACAUGGAUGACUCUUUCAGAGGCUAAUGGCUGGGACAUUAUAUGCCACCAAAUAAAAGCCAGAUUCAGACACCAGAUAAACAUCCCUUUAUGAACUCAUUGUUGGAGGAAGGAGGUCACAUAACUUGAGUAACCAUUUUGAAAUCUCUAUAUACAGCUGAGAACUCAGAAGCAGAGCAGUCUGCUAACUUAUCUUCAACUUGCAAACAUCCUACAGCAGGACUCCAGGCUAACGAAGCAGCUUGCAAGAAGCCCUCCUCAAAGCCAAUUUAUCUGAAAGGUACUGGUCACUGCCUGCCAAGCAGACCAAGUCUCUGAACAUGGAACCCAUCUUACUGCAGUGCAAUCAUAAUUAAAAGAAUUUUGCGCUUCUGCCUUCAGCCAGGAACCGCCAAGCUGGAAUUUCUCCAUGAAGGGACCCUCUCUGGAUUUGGACUUCCUGGACUCUGGAAAUCACAUGACCUGAUAUCCAUUUCUGUGGUUGUUUUUACUGUUAAGUUAUAAAUAGUUGUAAAAUCCCUCUUUCCUAUUCCCCUUACCCUAUAAUUGUGUGUGUAUAUGAA